rnacentral:rRNA from 1 species
CAAGUCGAGCGAGAAUCGUAGCAAUACGAGGACAGCGGCGAAAGGGAGAGGAAUACGUAGAUAUCUGCCCCUGAGACCGGGAUAGCGUCGGGAAACUGGCAGUAAUACCGGAUAACGUCUUUGGACCAAAGGUGUGAUUCCGCUCGGGGAUGAGUCUACGCCCUAUUAGCUAGUUGGUGGGGUAAUGGCCUACCAAGGCGAUGAUGGGUAGCGGGUGUGAGAGCAUGAUCCGCCUCACUGGGACUGAGAACUGCCCAGACACCUACGGGUGGCUGCAGUCGAGAAUCUUUGUCAAUGGACGAAAGUCUGAACAAGCGACGCCGCGUGCGGGAUGAAGGCCUUCGGGUUGUAAACCGCUGUCGUAGGGGAACAAAUGUAGAGGGGUUCUCCCCUUUAUUUGAGUGAUCCUAGGAGGAAGGAGAGGCUAAGCUCGUGCCAGCAGCCGCAGUAAGACGAGCUCUCCAAACGUUAUUCGGAAUCACUGGGCUUAAAGAGUUCGUAGGCGGCUCAGCAGGUCAGGUGUGAAAUCCCACAGCUCAACUGUGGAACUGCGCUUGAAACCGCUGGGCUUGAGGGAGACAGAGGUAAGCGGAACAGAUGGUGGAGCGGUGAAAUGCGUUGAUAUCAUCUGGAACACCGGUGGCGAAAGCGGCUUACUGGGUCUCUUCUGACGCUGAGGAACGAAAGCUAGGGUAGCAAACGGGAUUAGAUACCCCGGUAGUCCUAGCCGUAAACGAUGAGCACUAGUCUGUGGGGACCCUCACAUCCUCUCGGACGUAGCGAAAGUGUUAAGUGCUCCGCCUGGGGAGUAUGGUCGCAAGGCUGAAACUCAAAGGAAUUGACGG